GACGAACGCUGGCGGCGUGCUUAACACAUGCAAGUCGAGCGGUAAGGCUCCUUCGGGAGUACACGAGCGGCGAACGGGUGAGUAACACGUGAGUAACCUGCCCUGGACUCUGGGAUAACUUCGAGAAAUCGGAGCUAAUACCGGAUGGGACCUUGCCCCGCAUGGGUGGGGGUGAAAGGUUUUUCGGUUUGGGAUGGACUCGCGGCCUAUCAGCUUGUUGGUGAGGUAAUGGCUCACCAAGGCGUCGACGGGUAGCCGGCCUGAGAGGGUGACCGGCCACACUGGGACUGAGACACGGCCCAGACUCCUACGGGAGGCAGCAGUGGGGAAUAUUGCACAAUGGGCGCAAGCCUGAUGCAGCAACGCCGCGUGCGGGAUGACGGCCUUCGGGUUGUAAACCGCUUUUAGUAGGGAAGAAGCCUUCGGGUGACGGUACCUGCAGAAGAAGCCCCGGCUAACUUCGUGCCAGCCGCCGCAGUAACAC
rnacentral:rRNA from 1 species